rnacentral:rRNA from 1 species
GACAGAGGGUGCAAACGUUGCUCGGAAUUACUGGGCGUAAAGCGCGUGUAGGCGGUUUCGCAAGUCAGGUGUGAAAGCCCGGGGCUCAACCCCGGAAGUGCACUUGAUACUACGGAGCUUGAGUACUGAAGAGGAGAGCGGAAUUCCCGGUGUAGAGGUGAAAUUCGUAGAUAUCGGGAGGAACACCAGUGGCGAAGGCGGCUCUCUGGGCAGAUACUGACGCUGAGACGCGAAAGCAUGGGGAGCAAAC